rnacentral:rRNA from 1 species
GCCAGACUCCUACGGGAGGCAGUAGUGAGGAAUAUUGGUCAAUGGGCGGAAGCCUGAACCAGCCAAGUCGCGUGAGGGAAGAAGGCCCUGCGGGUCGCAGACCUCUUUGGACGGGGAGCAAGGCCGCCGACGUGUCGGCGGAAGGAGAGUACCCGUAGAACAAGCAUCGGCUAACUACGUGCCAGCAGCCGCGGUAAUACGUAGGUGGCAAGCGUUAUCCGGAUUUACUGGGUGUAAAGGGCGUGUAGGCGGGAAAGCAAGUCAGAUGUGAAAACCAUGGGCUCAACCUGUGGCCUGCAUUUGAAACUGUUUUUCUUGAGUACUGGAGAGGCAGACGGAAUUCCUAGUGUAGCGGUGAAAUGCGUAGAUAUUAGGAGGAGCACCAGUGGCGAAGGCGGUCUGCUGGACAGCAACUGACGCUGAGGCGCGAAAGCGUGGGGAGCAAACAGGAUUAGAUACCCUUGUA